UACAGAGGGUGCGAGCGUUAAUCGGAAUUACUGGGCGUAAAGCGCACGUAGUCGGCUUUGCAAGUCGGGUGUGAAAGCCCUGGGCUCAACCUGGGAACUGCAGUGGAAACUGGACGACUAGAGUGUGGUAGAGGGUAGCGGAAUUCCCGGUGUAGCAGUGAAAUGCGUAGAGAUCGGGAGGAACAUCCAUGGCGAAGGCAGCUACCUGGACCAACACUGACACUCAUGCACGAAAGCGUGGGGAGCAAACAGG
rnacentral:rRNA from 1 species